GGAAUCGGUCGAUUCCGAGAAAUCACUUCGCAUAGCUAAGCUCUUUGGUUGCGAUUACAAAUUCUCCGAAGCGAAUCGGUGGUCCGAAGGGAACCAAAGGGAGCCUCGGUGGUGCUUCCCUCCCCGUGGAACUAUACAUUGAUUCUGGGGGUGCUUGAGGAAACGAAUCACAAUGACGUCGUACAGUAUGAUGAUUUGUCUUCCCACCUCGACACACACCAUAGCCAACAAUCAGCUUACUUGGUUGAUGAGGAUAGCAAGUCAUGGGUGCGAAGGACCUGAAGGAUGAGAAGAUAAAGCCGUGUGUUCAGCUUAUUGAUGAUGAGAUAGAGCCCAUCGUUAGCCUCCUGGGUCUGAUUCAAGUACAGGCCGCAGCGUGUAAGUGUUGGAAAGGUCUCUUUGCCUUAGGACUGUUGUACUGCUAAAAGCUGAUUUAUGAGCCAUUGCUACAACACAAUAUGUACUCUUACCUGAAAGAUGGAAAUGCACAGGGCUGUUUAUGAACCAUUACUGUUUUUUGUUGAAUUAUACUUUGGGAAAA